CGAGAAGUCGAACCGUCAACACAUGUGAAUGUACCACACCGGACAAUCAAGAAGGCAGGUGCCUUGACUACAGAAAAUACGAUCAGUGUGCAGAUACCAGGUCAAUGUUACGAUCGUUUGCUGUCCGAACGAUCCAAACAAAGAGAAGAGAGAAAUUUUAAUAAAAACUGUGUAUAAGUAUAAGGCUUUGCGACCACCAUACUGUGGUUUUAGCAACGUCUCUCAUAGCAGGGUGGUCGAUGGUAAACCAGCUUGGUACGUUUUAUGUCUUUCUUUCCGAUUAAUAAUAAGCCAUUUACUGCAAAGA